GCUGUUGUAGCUCAGUUGGUAGAGCAACUGAUUCGUAAUCAGUAGGUCAGAGGUUCGAUUCCUCUCAACAGCACCA
rnacentral:tRNA from 2 species